rnacentral:lncRNA from 1 species
AAAAAGAUGAGAUUUUAGAAAUAUUUGGAAUCCAACGCAUACUAAACUUUGAUAACAGUAUACCUUAGUAUGCCUACUACACAUACUAUGACCGACUUCAUUUGUCAUUCCUUUCAAACCCCAAAUAGUAAAUUCGGGAAGACUUACCUUUCACUUCGUCAAUGGUGGCCAAACAAAAAUCCUAAACUUUGAUCUCUUCACACUUCCUUGUCUCUCAACUGUGCACUGGAAGCUCAACACAGGAAUUGUAGGACCCCAUAUGUACUCUCUAUACGAAAGCUGGAUUGAACAGAGAUACACAAAUAAGGAUAACUCAGUAGGAAAACACAACAUUUUGGCUAAAGCGAAGUUGAGCAGAUAGAAUACAAAUCAGAAAAUUAUGGAUUUUAAAACAACAAUUAUAUUUUGUUCAAAAUUGACUUCUGUCUCAAUUCCUUCCCACCAAUCAGGACUCUUCAAGCAGUAGUACAUUUCAGCCUAGCCGACAAUGAUAAAAAGUAUCCGUGCAUCAUUUUCCUUGUGCUUUCACUUUCAUGUUAUGUACGUAGUAAUUGUUUGUACUCUUCUCUUUUGUACACCCUUAACAUAAUCAAAAUUAGAAGAUUUUUCGAUCAUUCAGGGGGCUUAUCAAAUUUUCUUUCUAUAUUAUAUUUCACACAACAGAAAAAUGAUAAAAGCUAUACACUUUAUGAAACCAGAAGGUUCCUGAAGCCUUUCCUUCGAUGGUCAGCAAGGGACAACGGCAGAGAAAUUACUAUUAUUGGCAUUGCCUGGAAACUCUAAUGAUCCGUAUCUUCCAGUACAAUAAUUCUUUUCAGCAUCCUAAUUGAAUAAAUAAGACAGUUUUGACUUAUGAGCACGCCAAUGGUAUUUCUUUCUUUCUUUUCCAUAAAUUAGAAAGCUUUCCAAUGAAUUCGAGUUCUAUCACAACUGAAACAAACGUUUAGGGCUCGUUCGAUAAACAUUCAGGCUAAAACUUUAUGACAUAAAAUUGCACUGCAUGAUAUUAUUAGUAGAUCAAGAGACAUAAGGAUUUUGUUUAAAAUGUGGUUUAUACAUAACUAUCACAAAACCAAGUGAAUCCCACAAUUUAACUUCAACCAUUGCUAAUUUUUCCAACAUUAAUCAACAAUGCCAAUUUUUCCAUAAAAUGGAAAGCUUUCCAACGAAUUCGAGUUCAAUCACGAUUGAAACAAACAUUUAGGGCCCAAUUGAUGACCAUUUAAGCCAAAACUGAGCACACCUAAACCAUUCCUAUUUGUACCAAAUGUUAAACAGAAAGCAAUCACAAACGUGAGUCACUAAAGUACAGAUAGGUUAUUGAAAUUGAGAUGGCAGAAACGAAUUAUGAAUGGAAACAUUAAUGCCUACAAGUCAGAGGACAUUUGAAAGAAAUGGCAGAAAAGAAUUUGUGCCUCCAAAUACUAAUUCUUCCCCAUAACCUAGAAUUUAAAAUUACCAUUUUGUGCCAUUAGGAUGUGAAAACUCAAGUGGCAGGUGGCAGCAGUGGUAACAAAUUACAAUUCUAAAUCUAGGAACAGAAACUGGGUGAUAAUUAACCCAGAAUAUAAAAUCCAAAUAAGUUAGAGCAAACUUUACCUCAAAUCUUCGCUUCUCUUGUACUUCGGUAUUGUGGGGUUGAGUUGUAAAUGGUAAAUGAAGUCCUGAAAACCGAAGAAUGAAAAGCGUUCAUUCAGCUGAAGAAUGAAAAGCGUUCUUUCAGUUAACUAAAAAGCACUCGUAAACGGAGUGAGACAUCUAGUAACCACAAAAAUGAACCUUGAAAGCAGACAUAAAUAAACUUCAACCACAAUUACGUUAAUAAAUUUGGAUACAAAGGAAAAUUAAAUUUACUCAAUUUCGAUAUAAGGAAAAUUAAUUAAUGCUGGAAGAACAUUUGUGCCUCAAUGGCGUGAGAAUUUGUUUGGGCCCAAAAUAAUAGUUUGGGCCGAGGGUAGGAUCACUCUCGGCCCAGGAGGCCAGGCGGCAAAAGGACCAUGGAUCGGUCAACCCGUGGGAGUCCAAACCUAGGGCGGUUAGGACGAAUCCUAGU